AUUUUCAGUGUUGGCAAUGGAAAAAAUGUUUAAAAAUCUAUAACAUAUUUAAGAGAGAAGCUUAAAGAGUUCAUUUCUUAAUCAAAUCUGGAUAUUAUAACCUAAAUGUGACAAAAUGACGAUAAAAAGAGACUUGUCAGUCAGCAGGGAGCAGCAGCAGCAGAAGCAGGCAGGCCCAUUAAUUUCUACGCCCCUCAAUUAUUUUGUGGCAGCAAAUGAAGUAUGAAACCAACAUAAACGCAAAACGUGUGCCACAUACUAAAAACCAAAAAAGGGCGACGACUAAAUGAACGGCAAAAGCGACAACAAACUAUAGCAACAACACCAACAACAACAAAUUAACCAGCAUAAUUAAAAAUUCGCAUGACCACUGAAAACUAAAGUUGAAGAACAUGAUGGUGGGCUAUCAGAUGAAAAAGACUCGCUAGAAUUUGUAAUGUAUGCAUAUCAGAUUCACACGCAUUUGAA